rnacentral:misc_RNA from 1 species
CAUGCCUGUUCGAGCGUCAUUACAACACUCAAGCUCUGCUUGGUAUUGGUCUUUGCCAGCUGGCAUUCCCCAAAUAUAGUGGCAGUGGCCUCCGGCUUCAAGCGUAGUAAUCUAUCUCGCUAUGGAGUCUGUUGUUACUUGCCAUAAGCUAUAUCAUCAAAGUUGACCUCGGAUCAGGUAGGGAUACCCGCUGAACUUAA